AGUCGGCUACGGCAGCGUUAAUUACCCGUUGGUCCAACUAGAGUGUUUGUUGAUCAUAACUCAGGCAAAUAGCUCGUUUCUUCCCAUCAUAAAAUCCCGAGGGCUAGACCACACCGAUCUGUGACAUUGGCUCGAUUGCGUCUAUUUGCUCAGCUUGGCCCACUUACUCUGCCGUGAUAGCGCGAAGAGAGCAGUAAGUGUAGGUUGCGAUGAGCCUCGAGACACAUAAAAGCAUGUCUUAACCGUGGCUCAUACACAAAAGCACUUACUCCUCUCUUCGCUAUCAGGGCAGUACUGGAGGCGAGGCGCGAGGAUUGCAGCGAGGCACGAAUGUUGUCUACCAAGAACUUGGUUCAAUUCAGGAUCGGAGGCGGAUUGCAUUGAGCAGAGGGGAACCAAGUUUUUGAGUGCCAACAUCAAGUAUCAUAAUUUCACGGUUUCGUUUUUCGCUCGUGCCGAGGGCUUUCAAAAAUCUAACUCCCGGGUGUUUAUGAGAAUAUUACCAUGAUGAGGCAUGUAAGGUUAAACGGCGUAAUGCUUCAUAUCCUGACUUUCAAGAAACCCCAAAUGCCUUUUUUUGGCAUUAUGAAUUUCUUUGAGUUAAUGCUGAAAUUACAGCUUAGAACCGGCGUGAUUAGACUUGAAAAUUUUAAAAGUUGAAGCCGAUAAUAUCGAGCAGAUUUUCUAAAAGGCAAAAUAGAUCCGCUGGGCUGGACUUCGUGAUUUUCGCAGAUGAUCGGCAAACAAUGACCACUUGAUGAACAUGCAUACUGCUCUCUUUAAAUUUUCGAAGUAUGACUCAGGUCUCCUUAGUACUAGGACUGUGAGUGUUGCAUACACAAAACAUGAAGCCGCACCGGUUUUUCAUAAGUUUGCACUGCAAGAUUUGGGGUUUAUUGUCGCUUGGUAUAUAUGUUAUGCGAUGCCAUAUUUAUUUGGUAUCUGGUUACCCUGACACGAAGAUUUGCAAUUAGGGUAGUGUCAGACUGAUAUUAGUCCAGUACCAAUAGGAGUUUAUGAAUGCAAGAAAGAGGUCAGAAGAGGUUAAAGCUGAUUUUUAUGUAUUUUUGGUCGCUUAAUCCGAAUUUGAUGCUUCCCACCAAAUCCGCCUUGUGCGUUUUCCGGAAAAGCUGGAAAACUGCCGAAAAUCACGUUUUUACGCGCUUUUCCGGGAAUAAAUAGCUUAAUAUUCGUCGGAACGAAAAAUGAGUUAUUAGCAAAAAUGUAGCCAAGUAAAUUGCCGACAAAAUUGAAAUGAACAAGUUUUCACUUGGACUGAAAUUUAAGCCACCAGAGCCCGCGAAAGUUCGAAAUUUGCCGAAAAUCACGUUUUCUCGCGCUUUUCCGGUCGUAACUUCCUUAAUUCACCUUGAAUCGAAAAAGUCAACAGAAAUGAAAUUUUAGAUAAUCAAAUUUUGAACGAAUCUUGAUGAGAAAUUUUUUGAUAAGAGUCAUUUUUCGGCCGCUAGAGCGCGCUGAAGUGCAAAAAACCCCUGAAGAUAGGCAAUUUUGUCGACUUUCUUCUCGAUUCCGAUGAUAUUAGCGGUUCAUGCACUGUAAAUUCAAGAAUCGAUGGAUAUUUGCAAAACAGAGAACAUCAGGAAUUACUUUUUCUAAAAUAGAGCUCCCCCCCCUUCUACACCUAACCGCAAGCGCAACAGCCGCAAAUACAUGCAUAAAAUGGAUUCUAAAGGAUAGUUUUUUUUAAACAAAAAUUGUAAAAAAUAAUUGGAGGGCUAAGAAAAAACAGUGGAUUUUAUGAACAAUUUGGAGAUUUUAAUCAAUCAUUAUAGUAGGUAACACAUGAGAAUCAAAUGCAGCGAAAUAUUAAACCUUGAUCUGGAACACAUUGAUACAAGUCUUUCCCUCCUCCUUUUCGAGAGAUUGUCGACAACGGUUUUGCAUCAGGACAGAUAAUCAAUGGAAGCAAUGGAUGCAAUGGAAGUUUAUUGUUUUUUGUUUGUAAGUCUGCAGGAAUCCUUUCACCACAAAAGAAACAACAUCGCUUAAAGUCAAAUUCUGGCUCUUCGGAGCGCACUUGCCUCGGCUCGAUAGAACAUUCCUGAAUUUUUCGCAUCCGCUUCAAAUGAGCAACGAUUAAUUUUUCAUUCACAUAUUCUUUUUGAAACUUAUAAUGCACUGUCACUUUAGCGAGGGAGGCAAUAACUCGAGGUUUUUUAUCUUUUCUUCUAACACUUGCUCUCCGCAAUGAGGGCAAGCCUUUCUUCCCUGCCAACACUGUUCUGGCCGUUUCAAGCGGCCUUUCACAAAUAAAACACAAAUUCAUCACGGAUUAUCGAUAUGGCGCAAGAAUUAACGUAACAUUCCGACGUCAAAAUGAUUAUAAUCAGUGGAAAACUCAAGGAAUCAGUGAAUUUACACGUGCAUUUAAGCUAGAGACGAAAUAUGUUGAAAGACAGAGAUUCGACCGAUGACUGAAAAUUAUCAGUCUCAGAUUUCCAGUGUCACAUUUUUUGACAUAAUCUCCUCAAAAAUGCAUAUUAGCAGAAGCUGGCCGAAAUAUCUUCGCAGGGUGUUAGAUUUAGCAUGAUGUACAAUGAGAGUUUUCACCCCCUCUAGCCCUCCUCCCCCGAUCAUGGCUGCCUUUUCACUUUUCACAAAGCGCGGCCACCACAAUCCGUUGAAACAUGCCCGGUCCUAUACCUGCUGCUAUUGUAUUGCAGCACUCCACGAGGCUUCGAAGUGGGCUUUCCCGGCGUUACGAGUGACCACAGCUGCUUCGGCCUGGUCAAAGAGCUAUGGUCAAGAUUGAGGAUGUUACCUAUGUUUUCCUCCAGGCUCCAAGUUGGACGAGAGUACAAAAUGCAACGUACGUUCACUUGAUUUUCGUCCUUGUAUACACAAAUGUCAUCCUCCAUGCAAUGCUACGGAUUCACUCGUCAAAGUUGCGAGCGGAAUAAAAGCUUUACAACAAGUUUUAAACGAAAUACGCGAUUCAAAUAUACAUUUCUGCCAUGAUACGCAAUUAUUUUUCAAAUGAUAUGCUGCUAAUAUCAUCGGAAUCGAGAAGAAAGUCGACAAAAUUGCCUAUCUUCAGGGGUUUUUUGCACUUCAGCGCGCUCUAGCGGCCGAAAAAUGACUCUUAUCAAAAAAUUUCUCAUCAAGAUUCGUUCAAAAUUUGAUUAUCUAAAAUUUCAUUUCUGUUGACUUUUUCGAUUCAAGGUGAAUUAAGGAAGUUACGACCGGAAAAGCGCGAGAAAACGUGAUUUUCGGCAAAUUUCGAACUUUCGCGGGCUCUGGUGGCUUAAAUUUCAGUCCAAGCGAAAACUUGUUCAUUUCAAUUUUGUCGGCAAUUUACUUGGCUACAUUUUUGCUAAUAACUCAUUUUUCGUUCCGACGAAUAUUAAGCUAUUUAUUCCCGGAAAAGCGCGUAAAAACGUGAUUUUCGGCAGUUUUCCAGCUUUUCCGGAAAACGCACAAGGCGGAUUUGGUGGGAAGCAUCAAAUUCGGAUUAAGCGACCAAAAAUACAUAAAAAUCAGCUUUAACCUCUUCUGACCUCUUUCUUGCAUUCAUAACCCCCUUUUUAGAUCUAUUGGUAGUUGGUACUGGACUAUAUUAUAGCUCAUUAUGAGAAAGGAAGGGAUGGGGUCGAAAAAUAAAAAAUGGAGCAUUACUUAUUUUAUACAGUGCUUUAUACUUUAAAUAAAACAUUAUCAAAUUUUCCGAUU